GUUUUCCUGUCAAGUAAGUUUUGUCAUGUCUGAUGUUUUCUUGUAAUGUGCUUUCCUGUCAAGAAUUAUUAAACAUAAAUUUCGCAUUACUUAUCAAUGGAAUAUCUGUGUAUUUGUAUUAUUUGGUACCCAAAGCACAUUACCCGUAAUUCGUACCACAAAGCCCCCCCCCCCCCCCCCUAUUUUCAACACCCCUCUCUUUAAUUCUCAAAAGGUUAGAACUUACAACUGACUAUGCCUGUGCCAUGGAAGGUCGCACUUUUCUCUCUCUCUCUCUCGACAUCUUUCCUUUCGCAUACUCUCACAUCGUAGGGUCCAAACUAAACUUGUAUUCAAUACAUUAAUUGAAUUGAAAUUACAAGUCAAAGUCGUUAAUUCCUCAGCAAAGUUUGAGUUUUUUUUAUCUUGUCUCGUUGUCUCCGUCAUAUAUUUGGUCAUUCCAAUAAUAAUCUGAUGUCCCCUUUUUUUCAUUUUUCUUCAUCUGGGAAUUAUACUGGAUAUACUAAUAUAGGAUUCAGUUUGAAAAUUUUAUUUGAGGAAAAAAGACGAAAUAUUGACUACAUAGACACUGAGCUUUGAAAAGUUAAGAGUAGUCCUGAGUUAAAAUUCUUUUACUCGCUGUCAUCUGAAAUUGAAAAUUAGGGCUAAUUAGUAAUUGUUGAAAUAUUUAAGUAAAAUCACAUAUUUUUAUCACUUCUCGAGUAGCAAUAUUUCUUGAAUUCAUCGGCCAGAGUUGUGUUGACCUCAGUUGAUGCUUCAGCUCUGGGUUUCUUCGCAUUCUUGAGUUCUUUCUUUCUGGCUUGCCUUUUCUUCCAGUUACUAGGGCCUGAAACAAUUCCCUCAUCCUUUUCUUCGACUUUCGUUUCUGCUGAUGUUGCUUCUUCGACUUUUUCGGAUUUUGGCUCAUCCUUCACUGUUUUAUCAUCAUCCUCGUCUUGAUCAUCCUCAGGCCCAUCCUUACAAUCCCCAUCAUAGUUAAUAUUGUCCCAGUCGUAAUAAGGAGUCUCGGGGUGGUUUUCAUCAUCAUCCUGGAGUAGGACUAAGAAAAAUACAGUAAAAAUAAAUUUAAAUUUAGUAAGAUUAACUUAAUUAAAAUUAAAAACCUUACAUAUAGUGUCGUAACACAUGACGCAUUUCGAAUCCGUAGAUUUGUUGACAUACGUGCACCUGCAUGAGUAAAAACAAGUUAAUAAUUAUAAAAGAAAUUAAUAUUAUUAUUUUACUAUACCUAUCACAGCACCACGAGCCGUCUUCUUCGUGCUGUUUAUCAGCCAUUUUCUUUAGAUAAAGUCACAUCCUCUUCCUCGACUUUCUUUUCUUCUGAUUUUGCUUGUUCCUCAACUUUUUCGGAUUUGGCGUCUUUCUCUUCCUUCUCUGUGUCAUCUUGAUCCUCGUCUUGAACAUCCUCACAAUCUCCAUUAUAAUUCAGGUUGUUUUGAAGUUCACAAUUCACAAAAAAUUUUUUGUACCAUUUUAUCUAAUUCUUUUAGGACACUGUCUAAGAUGGGACAGUGACCAAAACUUGAAUAGUCUCCCAUAUAUUGCCAUAUUAUAUAUUUGAAUCAUCUACUGUGAAGUUUGUUUGUAUAUUAAUCAUCGUAAUUGUUUGUGCUUUAACCAUUGUAAUAAUCAAAAUCUGUAAAAUAUUUUUAAUCUAUCAGCUUGGAACAAAAUAUGUCAAGCGUGGCUGAUCGAGGCAGGCUGGCCGAGCAUAAAGGGACAAAAAAGAGAAAUUGUGGUCUUUUAGAUCAGCUCUGAACAAAAUAUGUGCAGCGGGGCUGAGAAUUGUUCUUUGAGCUGGCUGGCUGAGCAUAAAGGGACAGAAAAGAGAAAUUGUCGUGGUGAACCAAUAGAAAAAUUACUGCUACAUGUUGUGUGGCCCUUUUAAAUAUUAGUAGUAAAUUAAAAAUUUGUUUGUAGAUAACUGUGACUUUAACGAUUCUGAUAUUUUUUAACAGGAACACGAAAGAAUCACAAAACCAGGUGGCUUCAGAGUUACUUGAAGGUAAUCUACGAGAAAGCUAUCAUUCUGUCAAGGGAGGUACUGUGAGUGCAGCAUCGGAUUGAAUUAAGAAUUAAAAUCUCGUUAACUAGUUGUUCGGAAAAUUUACCUCAAACCUGAGCAACUAUUGUCCUGAUUCUGAGCAAAUGAGUUUGUUCUACAUGUUUUCUCUCGUCAAUUUUCAGAUAGACAGACCUUUGCCUUGAUCCAGAUACAUCCAGAUGUAUCUGGAUCAAAGCAAUCAAUUUAGACAAUCAAUCAAGACAAUCAAGACAAUCAAUUUAGAUUUAGAGAUGAUGUAGUUGUGUCAAUCCAUUUAAUAAACAAGUUUCUUGAAUUCAGUUUGCUUCGUUAUUCGUUACUGUCAUUGGGGAGGCGAAUAAUGGUUCGGAAUAAGUCCAUAUUCAGUCUAAAGAAAACGGGAAAGAGGAUGUAUUCUGGACACAAAAAGUAUGUCUAAAAAUUUACUCAUGAUGAUAUCCAUGAGCUGUCCACAAUCAGAUCUCCUAUAGAGCCACAUUUGAAGACGACUGUA
rnacentral:lncRNA from 1 species